rnacentral:lncRNA from 1 species
AAUCAAUAGCACUCAUUUCUUUAAUGCAAUCAAAGUAGAUCUAUCGUUAAUAUUUUUUUUAGAGUUUGCAAAAGCUAUUCAAAAUCAGAUUGUCUACAAUACAAAAGAAUGCAAAACAUGUAAUAUCAUAGGAUUUAUUUGAUAAACAAUGAAUGAUAUUUUUUCAUUUCAUGUUCUAAUUUUAAUUCACUUUUUUCUAUUUUGUUGUGACAGAGACAGCAUGGCUGAAUAUAUUCACCAUCUCCGCCAGCUUGAUCGGAACAGAGAGUUGAUAGGCAGACCUCAGAGAAGCCUUCGUGACCCAUGAACCCUUUUGAAGUGUAUGAUGAUGAUUCAUUUUGGACCAGGUACUGGUUUUCCAAAGAGACAGCGCUCUACCUCAUCAACUUGGUGGAUAAAGAGCUGCGGAGGACGACAGACAGAAACGACCCAAUACCUAUACAUAGUGACAGCACUUCGAUUCUAUGCUGUUGGGUCAUUCCAAAAGAUGCAUGGUGCAUGAUGGGGCACAACUUUCACAGUCUUCUGUAUGCAGAGUCAUCAAAGACGUGUCAGAAGCGUUUGCAAGAAGAAGGAAACAAUUCAUGAAGUUCCCAACAUCAAGAGAAGAAGUAUAGAAGCAACACAGCAGCAGUUCUGCCAAUACUGCAGGUUGCCAGGUUUUCUAGGUGCAAUUGAUAGGACUCAUGUCUACAUCAGGAGUCCUGGUGGAGAUCAAGCCCUGUAUUUUAUUAAUAGGAAGAACAGAUACUCUAUUAAUGAAAUGAAAAUUUUCCCUUUUUUUGGAGAUGCUCCCCAUUUACUUUUAAUCCAAUUAAUUAAAUGACCGAUAUGGAAUUGGUUCACCCUUUAGUUUCUCUGAACGAAACGUACACCCAUGCAGUACUGUGGUCUGAAACAAUUAGACCGUAUGAUUUGAAAUCUAAUGGUUGAUAUAGUUCCUCCCAAAAACAUUUUUGCAAAAGGUACCAACCACUUUGAAAGGGAAAUCGUCAUCAUCUUCAUCAUCAUCAACAUCAUCACUGAAAUCGCUCUUUGACUGCUUCAUCACCAUCGCCACCGACAACAUUGCUGUCAUCAUUAUCAUCACUGACAUCAUCAUCGACUUCAACAUUGUCUUCGUCAAUAACCUUGAAUACUUGUUUUGAUUAUCCAUAUUAAAUCGUCAAUAUUUAAAUAUAAA